AAACUGGGAUUAGAUACCCCACUAUGCUUGGCAGUAAACCUUAAUUACAUCCAAAUCGCCUGGGAACUACGAGCAAAGCUUAAAACCCAAAGGACUUGACGGUACCCCAAAUCCACCUAGAGGAGCCUGUCCUAUAAUCGAUAACCCCCGUUUAACCUCACCAUUUCUAGCCAAUCAGCCUGUAUACCUCCGUCGUCAGCUUACCACGUGAGCGAAAUAUAGUGAGCAUAAUGCUACUUCACCAAAACGUCAGGUCAAGGUGCAACUUAUGAAAUGGGAAGAGAUGGGCUACACUCCCUAACUUAGGGCACACGAAAAACUACAUAUGAAAUCUAGUUUGAAGGCGGAUUUAGAAGUAAAAAGAAACCAGAAUGUUCCUUUUAACCCGGCACUGGGGUGUGUACACACCGCCCGUCACCCUC
rnacentral:rRNA from 1 species